UACGUAGGGUCCAAGCGUUGUUCGGAUUUACUGGGCGUAAAGGGUGCGUAGGCGGCGCGGUAAGUCACUUGUGAAAUCUCUGAGCUUAACUCAGAACGGCCAAGUGAUACUGCAGUGCUAGAGUGUGGAAGGGGCAAUCGGAAUUCUUGGUGUAGCGGUGAAAUGCGUAGAUAUCAAGAGGAACACCUGAGGUGAAGACGGGUUGCUGGGCCAACACUGACGCUGAGGCGCGAAAGCCAGGGGAGCAAACGGG
rnacentral:rRNA from 1 species